CGCAGCCGCGGUAAUUCCAGCUCCAAUAGCGUAUAUUAAAGUUGUUGCAGUUAAAAAGCUCGUAGUUGAAUUUCGGGGUUAGUAGGUUGGUCAUGCCUCUGGUAUGUACUGGUCUCACUGAUUCCUCCUUCCUGAUGAAUCUUAAUGCCAUUAAUUUGGUGUUUUGGGGAAUUUGGACUGUUACUUUGAAAAAAUUAGAGUGUUUAAAGCAAGCUAACGCUUGAAUACAUUAGCAUGGAAUAAUGAAAUAGGACGUUCGAUCCUAUUUUGUUGGUUUCUAGGAUUGACGUAAUGAUUAAUAGGGAUAGUUGGGGGCAUUAGUAUUCAAUUGUCAGAGGUGAAAUUCUUGGAUUUAUUGAAGACUAACUAUUGCGAAAGCAUUUGCCAAGGAUGUCUUCAUUAAUCAAGAACGAAAGUUAGGGGAUCGAAGACGAUCAGAUACCGUCGUAGUCUUAACCAUAAACUAUGCCGACU
rnacentral:rRNA from 1 species